UUUUUGUUUUCUUUGUAGCUUUGGAACCUGUCCUGAAACUCUCUUUGUAGCACAGACUAGCCUCAAACUCACAGACAUCUGCCUGCCUCUGCCUCCUGUGUACUGGAAUUAAAGACGUGCUGCACCACCGCCCAGAAGUAUCACUCUUCUCUAAAGCCUGGGAGGAGCAUGGCCCACUGAGAGAGCUUGCCUGUAAUUAGAAGAUAAAUGACAGCCACCCGGCAGUGAAGGGCUUGGAAAUGAUGACCCCCACCCCCGUGGCUGUCUUCUUUUCAGUCCAGUGUUCUAGAUUGUAGCUCCCUCAGCAGGUAGGAAACUGGUGACCAAUCACCUUCUUUCAUCCAGCAGUUUAUUAAGCUGCUUCCCAUGUGCGAGGCCCCGUGUCAAGAUGCCAGGACUUGGCUGUGGAGUUUGACCACAUUUUGUAAGUUUUUCAUGGAGCAAGUCAACUUCAUUACUAGAGUAAGGGGGAACUUCCAUACUUCCACCCCUUUUUUUCUUCUGUUCUCUCCUCUUUUUCUGUUUUCCCCCUUUUCCCUAUCCCUUACCUCUUUCCUUAUUCUAGUUUGAAAAUGCUUGCCUAGACUUUUUACUUAUAGGACUCCAUCCCAAGGACAUCCAAAAGUCACUGUGGCAGGGACAAGGUGCCCCCUUUGAGGAAUCACUUGAGUUACAGAGCACAAACAUGAGGAUGAUUUCAUUCCACUCCACGCUGUGGCUUGUGUCGUGUAUCAUGUACUUAGACUCGCCCAAUCUCUGUAAUAGUUUAGAAACGGUGCUGUUUUUAGUUUUCCAUCAGAGGUACUCAUUUCCCACACGAUGAAACUGAAGUCAAAGAGGUUUAAGUGACUUUCUUACCUUCAUCCAUGUUCCCUUAAAAUAUCACAUAGCCACCUGCUCUUACCGCCAUUCUUUGCUACAUAUUUGUCUGCUUAAAAAUAAGACGAAAUUGAACAAGAAGAGCGUAGGCACCAGGUUUGUUGCUGGGGUUGUUUUUCCUUCUUUUCUUUUUUAGAAGAAAGACUCUGGUUCCAGAUAAUUGUGGUCCUGGAAAUAGAACAGAAUCUGGUACUUAAAAAGUCUCGGGUUCCCCUUCCAAGCUGUUCUCCACAGGCCCCUUAAUUCCAGUGUGUUAGCAAGAGCAGGAGAUCCUGCCUACCUAAAAAUAAAACGAAAUCGAACAAGAAGAUCGUAGGUACCAGGGUCUCUGUGUGUAGCCCUGACUGUCCUGGAACUCACUGGGUAGACUAGGCUGGCCUUGAAUUCCCAGAAACCCAUCUGCCUUCCAAGUGCUGGAAUUAAAGGUGUGCACCACACCGGACUCUUCUUUCCUCUUUAGGAGAACUCUGGUUCCAGUACAGUCCUGGAAAUAGAACUGGAAAAGCCUUGGGCUCCCCUUCUGAGCUGAUCUUUGCAAGCCACUUAAUUUUUCCAGUGUGCUCGUGAGAGCAGAAGAUCCCGACGAGACACCAAGAAAAUAACUCAGCCUCCCUUGUGUUCUCGUUAAUGAACAUCUUUUUAAGGACUUCUGGUCAGUUACUGGCCCUUGAGUGACAGAUGUUAUUUUCCAUACUCUUGGAAAUGGUACAAAUGAAAUCAGCGAGAGCUGUAUGUCAGAAUUUGACUGUUUCAGACAUCUGUCAUUAGAAUAGCAUUUAUAGUGUGGAUUUUUGGGAUAUGGACCUACCUUAUUAUUUUCAGUUUUUUUUCCUCACACCUUUGACAACCCAGAAAGCACUGACAUACUGGGAUCUGGCCUGUCCUUAGAUUCCUGGUUAGAAUUUGAUAUUUUGAUAAAGCCUGCCUGUCAACAUAUUGUAAGACUAAAUAUCUCUGGGCAAGCAAAAGUCUGACCAAAGCUAGAGGACUGGGGCUUAACUAUAGGUCACUGGAAAUGGAAAAUAAUAUUUUAGACUGUCUUUUUGUUUUCAGUAAUGCUGUUUUGAUCCAUGUUCAGUUGAAUCAAUGAUAAAUCAUUAAAUGUGCAUUUUAUGAGUCAGUUUUAACUCAGCGGUAAUCUUACACAUUGGAAACAUAUAAAGUGUUCUAACAUUAAUAUAAUAAGCCCAGAGUUUCAAAAUAGAGUAUUUUCUUUCCUCCAAUCACUCAUUCACUGGGCAGUUGUAGUUCACCAGGGAAAGAUAUACUGAAAAUGUCUCUACAAGCCAUGAAGUUAAAUUGCUGUUAAAAUCGAGUCAGCCAAACAUGGUGGCACAUGCGUUUAAUCCCAGCAUUUGGAGGCAGAGGCAGACUUCUGAGUUCCAGGACAGCCUGGGAUAUAUAGUGAGACUCUAUCUCAAAUAAAACAGAGCAACAAAGAAUUAA